CGGGCCGUAGCGUAGGGGUAGCGCGCUCCCUUGGGGUGGGAGAGGUCGCGGGUUCGAUUCCCGCCGGCCCGA
rnacentral:tRNA from 1 species